CCGGCGACCGGCGCACGGGUGAGUAACACGUAUGCAACCUGCCCUCUUCAGGGGGACAACCUUCCGAAAGGGAGGCUAAUCCCGCGUAUAUCGGUUUCGGGCAUCCGAGAUCGAGGAAAGAUUCAUCGGAAGAGGAUGGGCAUGCGGCGCAUUAGCUAGACGGCGGGGUAACGGCCCACCGCGGCGACGAUGCGUAGGGGUUCUGAGAGGAAGGUCCCCCACACUGGUACUGAGACACGGACCAGACUCCUACGGGAGGCAGCAG
rnacentral:rRNA from 1 species